rnacentral:rRNA from 1 species
AGGUCUAACCUGCCCAAUGAGGAUUUAAAUGGCCGCAGUAUUUUGACUGUGCAAAGGUAGCAUAAUUAUUAGUUUUUUAAUUGAAAGCUUGUAUGAAGGGUUGGACGAGAUAAAGUCUGUCUUUAUUUAAUUUAUAUUAGAAUUUAACUUUUAAGUAAAAAGGCUUAAAUGUUUAUAAAAGACGAGAAGACCCUAUAGAUCUUUAUUUAUAAAAAAUUUUAAUAAUUUAGGAUUAGUUUAUUUUAAAGUUUUUAAAAAAUUUUAUUGGGGUAAUAUAAAGAUUAAAUUAAUUCUUUUUAUUUUUUACAUUGAUUUAUGAAUAUAUGAUCCAUUAAUAAUGAUUAUAAGAUUAAGUUACCUUAGGGAUAACAGCGUAAUUUUCUUGGAGAGCCCAUAUCGAUAAGAGAGUUUGCGACCUCGAUGUUGGAUUAAAAAUUAUUUUAGGCGUAAAAGUUUAAAAUUUUGGUCUGUUCGACCAUUAAAUUUUUACAUGAUCUGAGUUCAGACCGGCGUAAGCCAGGUCGGUUUCUAUCUUUAUGUUUUUUGAAUAUUUUAGUACGAAAGGACCAAAUAUUUGAUAUAUUUAUAUUUAUUUUUUGAAUAAUAUUAAAAAUUACUUUGGCAGAAGUUAGUGCAAUGAAUUUAGAAUUCAUAAAUGUAAUAAUAUUACAGGUAAUACUUGUAUUUAGGAGAUUUAUUAUUAAUGAUUUUAUCUUUAUUAAUUUUAGUAGUAUGUGUAUUAGUUGGUGUAGCUUUUUUGACUUUAUUAGAGCGUAGGGUAUU